UGACUGCUGCAGUGCGGUGCUUCUGGCUGUGCAGCAUCUGUGUGUGUCUCCUGCUUGCGAUGUGUGCCAGUGGUUCCACUACGCCCGCACUUUCGGCCUUGGAAGUGCGCCUGGUCACCCGCCAGCAGGCAUCACCACCACAGAGCUGACGGUGCCAAAUUCCUGCAAGGCCUCCACAAGGUCCGCUUCCACCAUGCCAUCACCUGGGCCUCUUAUGCGAACGACUAAGAAGGCAGCGUUUUAUGCGGGACAUCGUCGUUCUCCCCGCCGCCCCCGCCUGCCACUGCCACCGCCGCAGCCACCUUCAUACUGGUCGCCGGCAUUGUCUGUCUUGAGCCACCCUCAGUGCCACCUCCAUAGUUACGGCCUCUACCGCCCGCGGCCGUCUUCACCAGCGCUCCCGACAGCCUCCACGGCUCUUCUGGCUGCUCCUACCUCCUGUUUCUGGGCAUCCAUUUCUGUUGUCAACCCAGAGGUCAUCCAUACAUUUAUUCACCUAUCCAUUUAUACCUUCAUUCAUUUACUCAUUGACUUAUCUUCCUAUUUGCUAAAGAUUGGAAGACAAACACAACAUUACAUCCUUAAGAAAUUUAUGAGACUUCCUUGGUGAUCCAGUGGUUAAGAAUCCACCCACCAACACGGGUCAUGGGUUCGACCCCUGGUUGGGGAGGAUCCCACAUGCCCUGGGGAAACUAAGCCCAUGCACCACAACUGUUGAGCCCACGUUCUAGAGCUCCUGCUCUGCGACAAGAGAAGCCACCAGGAGGAGAAGCCCACCCACCACAACUAGAGUAGAUCCUGUUCACUGCAGCAGGAGAAAGCCCGUGCGCAACAAUGAAGACCCAGCACAGCUGAAAUAAAUAUUUUUAAAAAUAAAAAUAAUAAUAAUAAAAAAUUCACAGUUAGCUGAGGAAACACACAUGUAAAUAAGUCAUGAACAUCGCCUUUGGCUGCAGCAUCAACUCUUUCCGUGGGAAUCAGGAAAGGCCUCGUGGAGAUGGUGAGAAACAGCUGUAAAACUGGGUAAAGGUUGCUGCGGGGGUUUUCAGUUUCAUGGUUUCUUCAGCCUUCCUCAACUAGGUGAUAAGGAUCCCAAGGAAAGUCCAUUCUGAUGAGAACUUAUUCCCCAUCGUUCCUGCAGUUAGAUGGUGUUACAGCUCUUUAUUGGCCUGCAGCUCCCACGCUAAUAAAGAAGGCCGGAGGAGAAACCUGAUGCCAGUGGGUUACAAGGAUGACUUCUCUGCUCCUCCCAUCCCCAAAGUCCACAUGAGCUAACUGCGGUCCCAGCUCCUCCUGCCCUUCCCACUGUGACUUCCAUCUAAGUCCUGAC
rnacentral:lncRNA from 1 species